GCCGAAAGGCAAGAGUGCCCGCAAGGGAGCGCGGAGACAGGUGGUGCAUGGCUGUCGUCAGCUCGUGUCGUGAGAUGUUGGGUUAAGUCCCGCAACGAGCGCAACCCUCACCCCUUGUUGCCAACAGGUCACGCUGGGCACUCUAGGGGAACUGCCCCGGUCAACGGGGAGGAAGGCGGGGAUGACGUCAAGUCAUCAUGCCCCUUACGUCCUGGGCUACACACGUGCUACAAUGGCCGGUACAAAGGGACGCAAGACCGCGAGGUGGAGCUAAACCCAAAAAGCCGGUCUAAGUUCAGAUUGGAGUCUGCAACUCGACUCCAUGAAGGAGGAAUCGCUAGUAAUCGCGCAUCAGCACGGCGCGGUGAAUACGUUCCCGGGCCUUGUACACACCGCCCGUCACACCACGAAAGCCAGUUGUACUCGAAGUCGCUGAGG
rnacentral:rRNA from 1 species